rnacentral:rRNA from 1 species
UACGUAGGGUGCGAGCGUUAAUCGGAAUUACUGGGCGUAAAGCGUGCGCAGGCGGUUCGUUAUGUCCGAUGUGAAAGCCCCGAGCUCAACUUGGGAAUGGCAUUGGAAACUGGCGGGCUGGAGUGUGGCAGAGGGGGGUGGAAUUCCACGUGUAGCAGUGAAAUGCGUAGAGAUGUGGAGGAACACCGAUGGCGAAGGCAGCCCCCUGGGCCAACACUGACGCUCAGGCACGAAAGCUAGGGGAGCGAACGGG